UACGUAGGGUGCAAGCGUUGUCCGGAAUUAUUGGGCGUAAAGAGCUCGUAGGCGGUUUGUCGCGUCGAAUGUGAAAACCCGGGGCUCAACUCCGGGCCUGCAUUCGAUACGGGCAGACUAGAGUUCGGGUAGGGGGAGACUGGAAUUCCUGGUGUAGCGGUGAAAUGCGCAGAAUAUCAGGAGGAACACCGGUGGCGAAAGGCGGGUCUCCUGGGCCGAUGACUGACGCUGGAGGAGCGAAAGCCGUGGGGAGCGAACAGG
rnacentral:rRNA from 1 species